rnacentral:lncRNA from 1 species
AGGCACCAGUGGUCCUGAGCCGUGACCACCAUGAUGUGAGUGGCACUGACAGCCCCUUUAGGGAGACUUCGAAUAUUUAUGACGGUUCUGCCUUCUGCGCAGACAUGGCCGUGCAGAACUUCGUAGGAGAUGCCUGUCGUGGUGCCACCUGGGUUGCACUUCACAACGGAGGGGGUGUAGGCUGGGGUGAGGUGAUCAAUGGGGGAUUUGGCCUUGUUCUCGAUGGGACCCCAGAGGCUGAGCAGAAAGCCAGGAUGAUGCUCAGCUGGGAUGUCUCCAAUGGCGUGGCACGGCGUUGCUGGUCUGGGAACCCCAAGGCCUAUGAGAUCAUCUGCCAGACAAUGCAGGAAAACAGUGGCCUGGUGGUGACUCUUCCCCAUGAGGUGGCAGAUGAACAAGUGCUACGACAGGUCCUGCGGCUCUGAGGAGAUCGUGGGUCCUCUUGAUCCCCUCCUUCCCACUGGCCUCCCCUCACAGCUCAUCACCCUCCCCCCCCACUACUACACCCCUCCCUACAUGGCACUCUUAGUGUCCCACAUAGUAAACCACAGAGGCCCAUCAAGAUGGGGCUCUUGCCUUUGACUACUGGCUUCAGGGCAGGGUACAUAGUGUUCACAGAGAAGCCAUAAGCCUGCAGUAGAGUAGACUCCAGCUUGGAUGGGAAGGAGUCUUGAUGCUGACCAAGCUGGCACCAGCCUCACAGUAGUCUCUGUGACCUUCUAAAUGUGCUGUUCAGUCUACUGUCCACUGCUGUCCCCACAGUACUACCCACCCAUCCCUUGUUUAUGCCAUCACUUCUGAUUCCUCAGAGAACCCGGCACGGGUACACAAAGUGCUCACACCAAGUCCUUGGUGCUGAGGGUAUGGGAAAGAUAUAAAGGAAGUAAAGACCAAAAUAGAGGCAAGCGCAUGGCACAGACUGGGCUGGCAAGAGUGGGUGACAGAGUCUCUGAGGCAAAGUGGCCAGGUGCUACUGCAACGUGUGGAGAAAAGACACUUUCCAGGCCAGCUGUGUGAGCAUGAAACACAGAACCAACCACUUCCAGAGGUGCCUGGGUGGAUCUGGAAUCCUUCCGGAGUUGCAUUAGCCAUAAGCUGGGUUCUUAUACCUUUUCCAUGCCCUGCAACCCAAUCAGACCUACCCCAGCCUUGCCUCUGAAGCAGGAGCCCUGGCAAGAGAGUUGGGUUGUGCUUCCUCAGACCUCCCCCUGGAAGUUACCACUGCUUUAUAAGUGCCCCCUACCCCCCAAUACCCAGCUUUUGGGCCCCUCCCACUACUGUGUCCUGUGCCCUCCUUUCAAUCUUUACCAGGCCAGCUCUCCUGCUGUGUUGUCCCCUGAGCUGAGGCAGGGCUACUUGGCAGUUAAUUUACAAAGAGAAAAGGGAUCUAUCUGGCUGACAGUUCUGGAUGUCCCCACCCAAGAUCAGGAAGUCAUAUUGCUUUGGGUCUCUGGCAACAGUGCCAAAUGGCAGUGGCAGGGCACACAUGGCAGAACAAACUGCUUACACUGUGAGGCAGGAAGAAAGAAAAGACGCUUGGACCCAAGUGCUACAAUCCCUCAAGGGCAUGUUCCAAUAACCUAAAGGCCUUUCCCCCAGCUCUACUGCUAAAGGAUUCCAUCACCCUUUGAAUAAGCCUUUAGCCCAAUCAGGAGCCAUACCAGAGGUCAAAACUGGCUUUCUGGCAUUUUGGUCUAUGUUUUCUUGCAUAAAAUAAAAUUUUUCCUAAAUC